GGCACGGUGGUGUAGUGGUUAGCGCGCUUGCCUCUCACCCCUGGAGUUCCAGGUUCGAAUCACGCCUCCUCCCUGUGUGU